UUCCGGUUGAUCCCGCCGGAGGCUACCGCUAUUGGAGUUCGAUUAAGCCAUGCGAGUCGCGAGUCUUAGGGACUCGGCGUACCGCUCAGUAACACGUGGGUAACCUGCCCUAUGCUGGGGGAUAACCUCGGGAAACUGAGAAUAAUACCCCAUAGUUCACCACGCCUGGAACGGUGGGUGGACCAAAGCUCCGGCGGCAUAGGAUGGGCCUGCGGCGUAUCAGGUUGUAGGGGGUGUAAUGUACCCUCUAGCCCUCUACGCGUACGGGUGUUGAGAGACAUCGCCCGGAGAUGGAUUCUGAGACACGAAUCCAGACCCUACGGGGUGCAGCAGGCGCGAAAACUUGGCAAUGCGAGAAAUCGUGACCAGGGAACUCCAAGUGCAUCGGGUAAGACCGAUGCUUUUCUUGACUCUUCAAAGGUCUUGGAAUAAGGGGUGGGUAAGGACGGUGCCAGCCGCCGCGGUAAUACCGGCGCCCCAAGUGGUAGUCGCUUUUAUUGGGCCUAAAACGUCCGUAGCCGGUCUGGUACAUUCGUGGGUAAAUCAACCAGCUCAACUGGUUGAAUUCUGCGAGCACGGCCAGACUUGGGACCGGGAGAGGUGUGGGGUACUCUCAGGGUAGGGGUAAAAUCCUGUCAUCCUGAGAGGACCACCUGUUGCGAAGGCGCCACACUAGAACGGAUCCGACGGUCAGGGACGAAGCCUAGGGGCACGAACCGGAUUAGAUACCCGGGUAGUCCUAGGUGUAAACGCUGUGGACUUGAUGUUGGGGGCGCUCCGAGCGCACUCAGUGUCGAAGCGAAGGUGAUAAGUCCACUGCCUGGGGAGUACGGUCGCAAGGCUGAAACUUAAAGGAAUUGGCGGGGGAGCACCGCAACCUGAGGAUUGUGCGGUUUAAUUGGAUUCAACGCCGG
rnacentral:rRNA from 2 species